rnacentral:rRNA from 1 species
UACAGAGGGUGCAAGCGUUAAUCGGAAUUACUGGGCGUAAAGCGUGCGUAGACGGUUACAUAAGUCGGGUGUGAAAGCCCCCGGGCUCAACCUGGGAAUUGCCUUUAAGACUGCAUCGCUUGAAUCCGGGAGAGGUGAGUGGAAUUCCGAGUGUAGAGGUGAAAUUCGUAGAUAUUCGGAAGAAACACCAGUGGCGGAAGGCGGCUCACUCGGACCGGGUAUUGACGCUGA